rnacentral:rRNA from 1 species
AUUCCAGCUCCAAUAGCGUAUAUUAAAUUUGUUGCAGUUAAAACGCUCGUAGUUGAUCUGUAGUCUGAGACUGGCGGUCUGCUAAGAUUCUUAGUGUGUACUUGCCUCUGCUGAGACUUUGUCGCUUGAGCGGUUGUGGACUUCAUUGUGCACUACCGUUGCGGGUGACCGUUUACUUUGAGUAACUUAGAGUGUUCCAAGCAGGUUUUGUUGCCGUGAAUAGCUAAGCAUGGAAUAAUAAUGAUAAGACUCAAGCCCUUAUGUUGGUUGAGGGCUUCGAGUGAAGAUUAAUAGGGAUAGCUGGGGGCAUUGGUAUUUAGCUGUCAGAGGUGAAAUUCUUAGAUUAGCUAAGGACUAUCUACUGCGAAAGCAUUUGCCAAAGAUGUUUUCAUCA